AGAGUUUGAUCAUGGCUCAGGACGAACGCUGGCGGCGUGCCUAAUACAUGCAAGUCGAACGCACAGACAACGGAACUUGUUCCGUUAGACGUGAGUGGCGCACGGGUGAGUAACACGUGGGAAACCUACCCUUCAGCGGGGGAUAACCGUCGGAAACGAUGGCUAAUACCGCAUAGGUCUUUGAACCACCUGGUUUAAAGAGGAAAGACGGCUUCGGCUGUCACUGAAGGAUGGUCCUGCGGUGCAUUAGCUAGUUGGUAAGGUAACGGCUUACCAAGGCGAUGAUGCAUAGCCGACCUGAGAGGGUGAUCGGCCACAUUGGGACUGAGACACGGCCCAAACUCCUACGGGAGGCAGCAGUAGGGAAUCUUCCGCAAUGGACGCAAGUCUGACGGAGCAACGCCGCGUGUGUGAAGAAGGUCUUCGGAUCGUAAAGCACUGUUAUUAGAGAAGAACAACCGGUAGAGUAACUGUUACCGGCUUGACGGUAUCUAACCAGAAAGCCACGGCUAACUACGUGCCAGCAGCCGCGGUAAUACGUAGGUGGCAAGCGUUGUCCGGAUUUAUUGGGCGUAAAGGGAGCGCAGGUGGUGAUUUAAGUCUGAUGUGAAAGCCCACGGCUCAACCGUGGAAGGUCAUUGGAAACUGGAUCACUUGAGUGCAGAAGAGGAAAGUGGAAUUCCAUGUGUAGCGGUGAAAUGCGUAGAUAUAUGGAGGAACACCAGUGGCGAAGGCGACUUUCUGGUCUGUAACUGACACUGAGGCUCGAAAGCGUGGGGAGCAAACAGGAUUAGAUACCCUGGUAGUCCACGCCGUAAACGAUGAGUGCUAAGUGUUGGAGG
rnacentral:rRNA from 1 species